rnacentral:rRNA from 1 species
UAACACCUGGAAACAGAUGCUAAUACCGGAUAAUAACAGAUGAUGCCUAUCAACUGUUUAAAAGAUGGUUCUGCUAUCACUCUUGGAUGGACCUGCGGUGCAUUAGCUAGUUGGUAGGGUAACGGCCUACCAAGGCGAUGAUGCAUAGCCGAGUUGAGAGACUGAUCGGCCACAUUGGGACUGAGACACGGCCCAAACUCCUACGGGAGGCAGCAGGG